GGUUAAGCGACUAAGCGUACACGGUGGAUGCCCUGGCAGUCAGAGGCGAUGAAGGACGUGCUAAUCUGCGAUAAGCGUCGGUAAGGUGAUAUGAACCGUUAUAACCGGCGAUUUCCGAAUGGGGAAACCCAGUGUGAUUCGUCACACUAUCAUUACGUGAAUACAUAGCGUAAUGAAGCGAACCGGGGGAACUGAAACAUCUAAGUACCCCGAGGAAAAGAAAUCAACCGAGAUUCCCCCAGUAGCGGCGAGCGAACGGGGAGCAGCCCAGAGUCUGAAUCAGCUUGUGUGUUAGUGGAACGGUCUGGAAAGUCCGACGGUACAGGGUGAUAGUCCCGUACACCAAAAUGCACAGGUUGUGAACUCGAAGAGUAGGGCGGGACACGUGGUAUCCUGUCUGAAUAUGGGGGGACCAUCCUCCAAGGCUAAAUACUCCUGACUGACCGAUAGUGAACCAGUACCGUGAGGGAAAGGCGAAAAGAACCCCGGCGAGGGGAGUGAAAAAGAACCUGAAACCGUGUACGUACAAGCAGUGGGAGCCUACUUGUUAGGUGACUGCGUACCUUUUGUAUAAUGGGUCAGCGACUUAUAUUCUGUAGCAAGGUUAACCGUAUAGGGGAGCCGAAGGGAAACCGAGUCUUAACUGGGCGUUAAGUUGCAGGGUAUAGACCCGAAACCCGGUGAUCUAGCCAUGGGCAGGUUGAAGGUUGGGUAACACUAACUGGAGGACCGAACCGACUAAUGUUGAAAAAUUAGCGGAUGACUUGUGGCUGGGGGUGAAAGGCCAAUCAAACCGGGAGAUAGCUGGUUCUCCCCGAAAGCUAUUUAGGUAGCGCCUCGUGAAUUCAUCUUCGGGGGUAGAGCACUGUUUCGGCUAGGGGGUCAUCCCGACUUACCAACCCGAUGCAAACUGCGAAUACCGAAGAAUGUUAUCACGGGAGACACACGGCGGGUGCUAACGUCCGUCGUGAAGAGGGAAACAACCCAGACCGCCAGCUAAGGUCCCAAAGUCAUGGUUAAGUGGGAAACGAUGUGGGAAGGCACAGACAGCCAGGAUGUUGGCUUAGAAGCAGCCAUCAUUUAAAGAAAGCGUAAUAGCUCACUGGUCGAGUCGGCCUGCGCGGAAGAUGUAACGGGGCUAAACCAUGCACCGAAGCUGCGGCAGCGACACUAUGUGUUGUUGGGUAGGGGAGCGUUCUGUAAGCCGUUGAAGGUGUGCUGUGAGGCAUGCUGGAGGUAUCAGAAGUGCGAAUGCUGACAUAAGUAACGAUAAUGCGGGUGAAAAACCCGCACGCCGGAAGACCAAGGGUUCCUGUCCAACGUUAAUCGGGGCAGGGUGAGUCGACCCCUAAGGCGAGGCCGAAAGGCGUAGUCGAUGGGAAACAGGUUAAUAUUCCUGUACUUGGUGUUACUGCGAAGGGGGGACGGAGAAGGCUAUGUUAGCCGGGCGACGGUUGUCCCGGUUUAAGCAUGUAGGCGGAGGUUCCAGGUAAAUCCGGUCCCUUUUUUAACGCUGAGGUGUGAUGACGAGGCACUACGGUGCUGAAGUAACAAAUGCCCUGCUUCCAGGAAAAGCCUCUAAGCAUCAGGUAACACGAAAUCGUACCCCAAACCGACACAGGUGGUCAGGUAGAGAAUACCAAGGCGCUUGAGAGAACUCGGGUGAAGGAACUAGGCAAAAUGGUGCCGUAACUUCGGGAGAAGGCACGCUGAUAUGUAGGUGAAGUGAUUUACUCAUGGAGCUGAAAUCAGUCGAAGAUACCAGCUGGCUGCAACUGUUUAUUAAAAACACAGCACUGUGCAAACACGAAAGUGGACGUAUACGGUGUGACGCCUGCCCGGUGCCGGAAGGUUAAUUGAUGGGGUUAUCCGUAAGGAGAAGCUCUUGAUCGAAGCCCCGGUAAACGGCGGCCGUAACUAUAACGGUCCUAAGGUAGCGAAAUUCCUUGUCGGGUAAGUUCCGACCUGCACGAAUGGCGUAAUGAUGGCCAGGCUGUCUCCACCCGAGACUCAGUGAAAUUGAACUCGCUGUGAAGAUGCAGUGUACCCGCGGCAAGACGGAAAGACCCCGUGAACCUUUACUAUAGCUUGACACUGAACACUGGUCCUUGAUGUGUAGGAUAGGUGGGAGGCUUUGAAGUGUGGACGCCAGUCUGCAUGGAGCCAUCCUUGAAAUACCACCCUUUAAUGGCUGGUGUUCUAACGUGGACCCGUAAUCCGGGUUGCGGACAGUGUCUGGUGGGUAGUUUGACUGGGGCGGUCUCCUCCUAAAGAGUAACGGAGGAGCACGAAGGUUAGCUAAUCCUGGUCGGACAUCAGGAGGUUAGUGCAAAGGCAUAAGCUAGCUUGACUGCGAGAGUGACGGCUCGAGCAGGUGCGAAAGCAGGUCUUAGUGAUCCGGUGGUUCUGAAUGGAAGGGCCAUCGCUCAACGGAUAAAAGGUACUCCGGGGAUAACAGGCUGAUACCGCCCAAGAGUUCAUAUCGACGGCGGUGUUUGGCACCUCGAUGUCGGCUCAUCACAUCCUGGGGCUGAAGUAGGUCCCAAGGGUAUGGCUGUUCGCCAUUUAAAGUGGUACGCGAGCUGGGUUUAGAACGUCGUGAGACAGUUCGGUCCCUAUCUGCCGUGGGCGCUGGAGAAUUGAGGGGGGCUGCUCCUAGUACGAGAGGACCGGAGUGGACGCAUCACUGGUGUUCGGGUUGUCAUGCCAAUGGCAUUGCCCGGUAGCUAAAUGCGGAAGAGAUAAGUGCUGAAAGCAUCUAAGCACGAAACUUGCCCCGAGAUGAGUUCUCCCUGAGACUAUAAGUCUCCUGAAGGAACGUUAAAGACGAUGACGUUGAUAGGUCGGGUGUGUAAGUGUAGCGAUACAUUGAGCUAACCGAUACUAAUGAACCGUGAGGCUUAACCUU
rnacentral:rRNA from 1 species